rnacentral:lncRNA from 1 species
AGAGUUUUAAUGGAAGAAAAAGGGCAAUUUCAAGGUGCAGACUUGCACUGCACAUAUUUUGGUAUUUUGACCAUAACUCUCUCUACAGAGCUCCAAAUAAAGUGAUUCUUGAACUAUUGGAGCGAUAAGAGAAAAAUAUACAACUUUUAUGUUUACCACCUAGUUCAAUUCGGCUUGGAAGGAGGUCAAAAUUGUCAAAACUCUUGUCAAACUUGAUGUAUUGUAGCAGUCCUAGAACAAUUAUGAUUUUUGCCAUUUAAAUGGUCUAGGCCAUGACUUUGGACGUAGUAGGCUGCGGCCCACAUAGUCUGAUAAGGAAAUCCUGAUUGGAAUUGACUUCUUUCUUCACCCAACUUGGCCUAAAUUCAAAGCCCUAUAAAAACAACCUUUCGGAGGACUUUGGAGGAAAGAACGAAACACCAGAUUGAUAGCUGAGAGUCGAGCCACAAAGUCAUUGAAGCUAAAAAGAAUUUGAAGGAUUCAAGGAGAUUUGGAGAUUAAGCAUGCAAUCCUUGGUUUUUUCUAUCUUUUUGUUAUUCUCUUAUUCUCUUGGUUUUGUUUUUAAUGUUUAAACUUUAUUCAAUGAUGAUGUGUGACUUGAUGGGAAACUAAACUUUUUAUCUAAGAUUAUGAUUAAAC